UACGGAGGGUGCAAGCGUUGUCCGGAUUUAUUGGGUUUAAAGGGUGCGUAGGCGGUUCUUUAAGUCAGUGGUGAAAUACUGCAGCUCAACUGUAGCAUUGCCAUUGAUACUGAAGAACUUGAGUACAGAUGAGGUAGGCGGAAUUUAUGGUGUAGCGGUGAAAUGCAUAGAUACCAUAAAGAACACCGAUUGCGAAGGCAGCUUACUAGCUGUAACUGACGCUGACGGCACGAAAGCGUGGGGAGCGAACAGG
rnacentral:rRNA from 1 species